AGCGGGGCGGCAGGGUUGCCUGCCGCCGCCGGCGACCGGCGCACGGGUGAGUAACACGUAUGCAACCUGCCCGUGGCAGGGGGAUAAGCGGGGGAAACCCCGUCUAAUACCGCGUAACGCGGCCUAGGGACAUCCCAAGGCCGCCAAAGGGAGCAAUCCCGGCCACGGAUGGGCAUGCGGCGCAUUAGCUAGUCGGCGGGGUAACGGCCCACCGAGGCGACGAUGCGUAGGGGUUCUGAGAGGAAGGCCCCCCACACUGGUACUGAGACACGGACCAGACUCCUACGGGAGGCAGCAGUGAGGAAUAUUGGUCAAUGGGCGCGAGCCUGAACCAGCCAAGUCGCGUGAGGGAGGACGGCCCUACGGGUUGUAAACCUCUUUUGCCGGGGAGCAACGGGCGCCACGUGUGGCGCCACUGAGAGUACCCGGAGAAAAAGCAUCGGCUAACUCCGUGCCAGCAGCCGCGGUAAUACGGAGGAUGCGAGCGUUAUCCGGAUUUAUUGGGUUUAAAGGGUGCGUAGGCGGAUCGUUAAGUCAGUGGUCAAAUUGAGGGGCUCAACCCCUUCCCGCCAUUGAAACUGGCGCUCUUGAGUGGAAGAGAAGUAUGCGGAAUGCGUGGUGUAGCGGUGAAAUGCAUAGAUAUCACGCAGAACCCCGAUUGCGAAGGCAGCAUGCCGGCUUCCUACUGACGCUGAAGCACGAAAGCGUGGGGAUCGAACAGGAUUAGAUACCCUGGUAGUCCACGCGGUAAACGAUGAGCGCUAGGUGUCCGGGGG
rnacentral:rRNA from 1 species